rnacentral:rRNA from 2 species
UGCUGGAGGUAUCAGAAGUGCGAAUGCUGACAUAAGUAACGAUAAAGCGGGUGAAAAGCCCGCUCGCCGGAAGACCAAGGGUUCCUGUCCAACGUUAAUCGGGGCAGGGUGAGUCGACCCCUAAGGCGAGGCCGAAAGGCGUAGUCGAUGGGAAACGGGUUAAUAUUCCCGUACUUGGUGUUACUGCGAAGGGGGGACGGAGAAGGCUAUGUUGGCCGGGCGACGGUUGUCCCGGUUUAAGCGUGUAGGUGUGUGUUCCAGGUAAAUCCGGUUCACUUUAACACUGAGGCGUGAUGACGAGGCACUACGGUGCUGAAGCAACAAAUGCCCUGCUUCCAGGAAAAGCCUCUAAGCAUCAGGUAACAUCAAAUCGUACCCCAAACCGACACAGGUGGUCAGGUAGAGAAUACCAAGGCGCUUGAGAGAACUCGGGUGAAGGAACUAGGCAAAAUGGUGCCGUAACUUCGGGAGAAGGCACGCUGACACGUAGGUGAAGUGAUUUACUCACGGAGCUGAAGUCAGUCGAAGAUACCAGCUGGCUGCAACUGUUUAUUAAAAACACAGCACUGUGCAAACACGAAAGUGGACGUAUACGGUGUGACGCCUGCCCGGUGCCGGAAGGUUAAUUGAUGGGGUCAGCGCAAGCGAAGCUCCUGAUCGAAGCCCCGGUAAACGGCGGCCGUAACUAUAACGGUCCUAAGGUAGCGAAAUUCCUUGUCGGGUAAGUUCCGACCUGCACGAAUGGCGUAAUGAUGGCCAGGCUGUCUCCACCCGAGACUCAGUGAAAUUGAACUCGCUGUGAAGAUGCAGUGUACCCGCGGCAAGACGGAAAGACCCCGUGAACCUUUACUAUAGCUUGACACUGAACAUUGAGCCUUGAUGUGUAGGAUAGGUGGGAGGCUUUGAAGUGUGGACGCCAGUCUGCAUGGAGCCGACCUUGAAAUACCACCCUUUAAUGUUUGAUGUUCUAACGUGGACCCGUAAUCCGGGUUGCGGACAGUGUCUGGUGGGUAGUUUGACUGGGGCGGUCUCCUCCUAAAGAGUAACGGAGGAGCACGAAGGUUGGCUAAUCCUGGUCGGACAUCAGGAGGUUAGUGCAAUGGCAUAAGCCAGCUUGACUGCGAGCGUGACGGCGCGAGCAGGUGCGAAAGCAGGUCAUAGUGAUCCGGUGGUUCUGAAUGGAAGGGCCAUCGCUCAACGGAUAAAAGGUACUCCGGGGAUAACAGGCUGAUACCGCCCAAGAGUUCAUAUCGACGGCGGUGUUUGGCACCUCGAUGUCGGCUCAUCACAUCCUGGGGCUGAAGUAGGUCCCAAGGGUAUGGCUGUUCGCCAUUUAAAGUGGUACGCGAGCUGGGUUUAGAACGUCGUGAGACAGUUCGGUCCCUAUCUGCCGUGGGCGCUGGAGAACUGAGGGGGGCUGCUCCUAGUACGAGAGGACCGGAGUGGACGCAUCACUGGUGUUCGGGUUGUCAUGCCAAUGGCACUGCCCGGUAGCUAAAUGCGGAAGAGAUAAGUGCUGAAAGCAUCUAAGCACGAAACUUGCCCCGAGAUGAGUUCUCCCUGAGACUUAGAGUCUCCUGAAGGAACGUUGAAGACGACGACGUUGAUAGGCCGGGUGUGUAAGCGCAGCGAUGCGUUGAGCUAACCGGUACUAAUGAACCGUGAGGCUUAACCUUACAACGCCGAAG